rnacentral:tRNA from 1 species
GGUCACCUAGUGUAAUGGUUAUCACAGCGGAUUCUGAUUCCGCUAAUCUGGGUUCGAUUCCCAGGGAGACCU